rnacentral:rRNA from 1 species
UACGGAGGGUGCAAGCGUUGAUCGGAAUUACUGGGCGUAAAGCGUGCGCAGGCGGUUUGUUAAGUCUGUUGUGAAAUCCCCGAGCUCAACUUGGGAAUUGCAAUGGAUACUGGCAGGCUGGAGUAUGGUAGAGGAAGGUGGAAUUCCCGGUGUAGCAGUGAAAUGCGUAGAGAUCGGGAGGAACACCAGUGGCGAAGGCGGCCUUCUGGACCAAUACUGACGCUCAUGCACGAAAGCGUGGGGAGCAAACAGG